AACGAACGCUGGCGGCAGGCCUAACACAUGCAAGUCGAGCGAAGCCUUCGGGCUUAGCGGCGGACGGGUGAGUAACGCGUGGGAACGUGCCCUUUGGUACGGACUAGCCCCGGGAAACUGGGAGUAAUACCGUAUGUGCCCUUCGGGGGAAAGAUUUAUCGCCGAAGGAUCGGCCCGCGUUGGAUUAGGUAGUUGGUGGGGUAAUGGCCUACCAAGCCGACGAUCUAUAGCUGGUUUGAGAGGAUGAUCAGCCACACUGGGACUGAGACACGGACCGGACUCCUACGGGAGGCAGCAGUGGGGAAUGUUAGAAAAGGGGGGAAACCCUGAUCUAGCCAUGCCGCGUGAUCGAUGAAGGCCUUAGGGUUGUAAAGAUCUUUCAUUGGGGAAGAUAAUGACUGUACCCACAGAAGAAGCCCCGGCUAACUCCGUGCCAGCCGCCGCUGUAAAAC
rnacentral:rRNA from 1 species